CGGUGACCGAUAUCCAAGAAAAAUACACUCAGUAAAUAUUUACUCUACAGUAUAUCAUAUAUACUGUAUGUGUCCUAUUUCCUGAAAGUAUUUUACUUUAAACAGAGUUUACAUGAUACUGUAAUUAGUUUACUUUAUUUUGUGUUGUCAUACAUAUGAAGUGAAGCAUGUAUAAAUAAACAUGAGGCAAUGUAUUUAUGAUUGCAUAUGUUAUUGUAGUGUACUUGACUCUUAUUAUGAAGUCUUUUCAGAGAAUGUUGUGUUUGUGUGUGUUAUCUAAAGGCAACAGGACUGAUUAAUAGCAUGUAGUUGUUUUUGUCCCCUCAUACUAUCCAUCCAUCCAGGUGCUCCACACUCCAGCCCAGCAGGUGGCAAAAUCCCUUUAACGCUGGUUUGCCACAGGCAUUAAAUGACAAAAGAAGUAGAAGUAGUUCAGUUUUUAAGUAAAUUGUGUACUAAAUAGUAUCCCGUUUUACCCCACAUAUUAAGUUAUAGGAAACCAUCAACCACUGAGAUGCACCUUUGCUGUGACGUUUUAACGAGCCUACAAUGAUUUGGAUGUUGUUCAGAUGGCUGUCCAACAGUGGACAGUCUAUGCAAGAUUACAUCAUCAAAAAGGGGACUCGAAGGAGGACCACUGGACUUAGGAAGGCAUUUAGGACAGAGCCCAUAUUUGCAUUGGCCAGACAUGACAUCAUAACGACUGACAGCAGUUUAGAUGAGGACAGAUGAUUAUCCACUGACCCCUGUGGACAGUCGUUUAACUCUUAAUAAAGAUCUGUUGAAAAUGAAUUCA
ensembl:lncRNA